UUACAUUUUGCAAGCUUGCAAAACUUUUUUUUGUAAGAUUUUGAGUUUUCAAACCCUUAGUUUCAACCUUUCAGAAAAAUGUUCUACUUUGGGAAACAUCCCAGAUAGCAGCUGACUCUGGGCCGGAUCCGCCUCCAAACCGGCAGAUCCGUGUAACAGUCACGCCCGUUUUACUGCCCCGUUCCAGAUACGGCCCGCAUGUAGUCUGUGUGCACUCAGGAGUGGGCGUGAGCAUCCAUCAGUCGGCGGAAUCAUAAUAGUUCUGGCCCGGACUCGUCGGAAAUAGCGCGCGAACUGUUUCUUUCUUUGGAUCAGUUCGGACUGGAAGCUUUGGGGAAAGAGUUUAUAACGGCUGUACGGAAGAACCAAGCUGCUAGCAGCGCAUCGGACAACGAAAUUAACCAGUUCAACCUGGCCUCUGACCGUGGAGGUGGCUGCAAAGAACGUGCCAUGGCCAGAGAGGCAUUAACCAUGAAAUGAACACAUCGGCCAUCCCCCACUCUUCCACUACUGAUGAUUUGUUGGGUGUCAUGUGAGGGUUAUGGCAUUCCCACUUCUCCACUUGCCUCAUCAGUGUUUCCCGUAAAGCCACCAAACAAUGUGUAUGAACAUUUUACAUUUUUUUCAGG